rnacentral:lncRNA from 1 species
AUGGGGAACAAGGCAGGGAGGGGAGAGAGGCCCGGGCGGUGUGUAUGCGCCUUUGUUUAAUUACACUGUUUAACACACUGAGAAUAAUUUAGCCAUCCAAGUGGAGAAAAUAAGGGACUUAACCGUUCCCUGGUGGCAACGCUCCACGGCUCACCGUCGGCUGUUUCUGCCUCCUCGGAGUCUCUCACGCACCUUCGGGAUUUCUCUCUGACCGCGGGGAAGGAAGUGUUUGCGGGAGGAACGUUGAGGGAAUCAAAGGACAUGGUGGGGGUGUGGAGAGAAUGGGGGGCUUCUCCAUUCAUUUGACCCCC